rnacentral:rRNA from 1 species
GACGUAGGGCGCGAGCGUUGUCCGGAAUUAUUGGGCGUAAAGAGCUCGUAGGCGGUGUGUCACGUCGGCCGUGAAAAACCUGCAGCUUAACUGUGGGCGUGCGGUCGAUACGGGCAUCACUGGAGUUCGGCAGGGGAGACUGGAAUUCCUGGUGUAGCGGUGAAAUGCGCAGAUAUCAGGAGGAACACCGGUGGCGAAGGCGGGUCUCUGGGCCGAUACUGACGCUGAGGAGCGAAAGCGUGGGGAGCAAACAGG